CCUACGGGAGGCAGCAGUGAGGAAUAUUGGUCAAUGGCCGAGAGGCUGAACCAGACAAGUCGCGUGAGGGAAGACGGCCCUACGGGUUGUAAACCUCUUUUGUCGGGGAGCAAAGCGAGUCACGUGUGACUCAUUGAGAGUACCCGAAGAAAAAGCAUCGGCUAACUCCGUGCCAGCAGCCGCGGUAAUACGGAGGAUGCGAGCGUUAUCCGGAUUUAUUGGGUUUAAAGGGGGCGCAGACGGCAAUGGAAGCCAGGAGUGAAAGUCCGGGGCCCAACCCCAGGAAUGAACUUGGAACUGGAUGGCUUGAGUACAGGAGAGGCAGGCGGAAUUCCUGGUGUAGCGGUGAAAUGCGUAGAUAUUAGGAGGAACACCGGUGGCGAAGGCGGCCUGCUGGACUGUGACUGACGUUGAGGCCCGAAGGUGUGGGGAGCAAACAGGAUUAGAUACCCCUGUAGUC
rnacentral:rRNA from 1 species